rnacentral:rRNA from 1 species
UUUAAAUUGAGAGUUUGAUCCUGGCUCAGGAUGAACGCUGGCGGCGUGCCUAAUACAUGCAAGUCGUACGCUAGCCGCUGAAUUGAUCCUUCGGGUGAAGUGAGGCAAUGACUAGAGUGGCGAACUGGUGAGUAACACGUAAGAAACCUGCCCUUUAGUGGGGGAUAACAUUUGGAAACAGAUGCUAAUACCGCGUAACAACAAAUCACACAUGUGAUCUGUUUGAAAG